UGGGGAAUAUUGCACAAUGGACGGAAGUCUGAUGCAGCGACGCCGCGUGGGGGAUGAAGGCUUUCGGGUUGUAAACUCCUUUUGAUGCUGAACAAGGCUCUUUUUAGGGUUGAGGGUAGGUGUUGAAUAAGCGCCGGCUAACUACGUGCCAGCAGCCGCGGUAAUACGUAGGGCGCGAGCAUUGUCCGGAAUUAUUGGGCGUAAAGGGCUCGUAGGCGGUUUGUCGCGUCUGCUGUGAAAGACCGGGGCUUAACUCCGGGGUUGCAGUGGGUACGGGCAGACUAGAGUGCGGUAGGGGUAGCUGGAAUUCCUGGUGUAGCGGUGGAAUGCGCAGAUAUCAGGAGGAACACCGAUGGCGAAGGCAGGUUACUGGGCCGUUACUGACGCUGAGGAGCGAAAGCAUGGGGAGCGAACAGG
rnacentral:rRNA from 1 species